AAUUUUUUAAUUUUUUAAUUUUUUAGUUUUUGAAACUUAAUUCUACGGUUCGAUUCCGUAAAAAAAUG
rnacentral:tRNA from 1 species